CCUUUCUCUAAAUUCUGGGCUACAGUCAUAUAUCUCAGGAAUUGACGAACUUCAGUGCAUAGAUCUGCAUGAAUCAGUAUAAUGGGAAAUAGGCUCUGCGGCCUAAUUGCCGAGACAAAGCCAAAUAAAGAACCAACGUUGUCAAUCUUCUACCCACCCGUGAAUAUGUUAGUGAUUGACACAGACUCUUCCGACACGGCAGCAGUAUGUCUGCUCUCCGAAUUUUACCCCAAGGAGAUUGAAGUCAGCAUGACUCGUGGCUCAGAAACCAAAGUCACGAAUACAAGUGUGGUGACAAACGACGGAUAUUACCACAGUUCCAAUUACAUACCGUUCUCCAGUAAAGCGGGUCCAGAAAACAUCACGUGCACGGCAAAGCAUAGUGGCAACAUACACUCGGAAAGUAUUACCUUCAAGAAAUCUGAACCUACGACGAGCGCACCGGUCAACUGCCACACAGGGAUAAGCAGCAACCAGACACAAACAGAUCCAGCGGAGGAGAAUUCUAUGUCCUUGACGGUGAUGGGGUUGAGAAUUCUCUUUUUUAAGAGCGUUGCCUUCAAUGUCUUGAUGACAGCCAGAGCCUGGGUCAUUUAAGUCAUUGGCCCGGGUGCUAUUUUAUCGCAGAAGAAUUCCCUCCGCUGGAAUGGAUUCGUACGGCAGCAAAACACCGCGGGGAACUCAGUGCCGGAGACUUCAAAUCCGAUUGCUGCCCCUUCGCUAUACGCAAAACAGCAGAUUUUAAAUGACUAGUCCAAUAUUUCCGAACGCUGCUAAUUUAUAUCCUCUGGGUAACUUCUAUCCAGUUACGGUAAUGCAUUGGCUUUGUUGUGUUUGCCGGACAUCUUAUAGCUUGUAAUCGGCAAAGAAAAUGAAUUACUCGUAUGGGCACCAUAGAUGCGCAUGUGUAGAGCUCAGCAUCAGCUCUCGGUAUUUAGACUGGUCUAAAUCCUGUUCUCAACCGCAUUUUAUAUUCAAUGCAUAAGUAUUUUAUUUGCUUUCUUAGAAUUAUAGAACCUUACAGCUACAAAGGAGGCUAUUUGAUUCAUUGUGGCAGUAACAUCUCCAUUUGCGCCCCUGCACCACAAAUCUCACUUUCCCCAUUGUCCUACAUUUCUUUUGUUCACUGCCUCGGAUCAUUUAAUUGAAUUUAUUUGAUUUUUACUAUAUAUUGUUUAAUCGCUUCAGGUGCACACCUUUGAUAGAUUGCUCAAUCUAACUAUUCAACUCCCUUCUGAAUUGCUGGGAAAUAAUAGGCUUAAAGUAUCCCGAAGUUAUUUAUUCUCAGGGAUAUUAAUAGCGCGGCGUUUCUACAAUCUGGCGGAUGGCUGGAGAACGGGAGGUUUUCACUGAUCGCCUCGCCUUCGGUCCACGAACCAAUUAUAAUGGGCUUCAGUCUGACUAGAUAUUUAGCGGGCAAUGUGGUAGGUCAUUCAGUGUCCCCAUGCCAUACCCCGACUUUCUUUCCUAUGCUGCCAUUCUAUACAAUGCAAGGCAACGCUAGAUGCCAACAUCAAUUCCUGCAUUCGAAAUGCUGAAAAACGUUGCUCACAGGAUUAGCUCUGCCAUUAUACUGCCAGGUUUUUUUUUCCCCAGAAAAGGAAUUUGAUAGAAUAUCAUCGUUUGCGCAGCAGAAAAUCAAGGAUGUAUUGAAUGCUUUGCUCAGAGAGAAUAUCAGUGUUACCUUGGGUUAGAUGUGAGGGUAGCCAAUCUUAUAUUGAAUGACGGCACCCAGUAUAAUAUCCUCCUUGUUGUUUUAACUGCAGUGAUCAAUAAAUAUGCUAUCUUUAA